AAUCAACGCUGGCGGCGCGCUUAACACAUGCAAGUCGAGCGAGAAAGGGGAGCAAUCCCUGAGUACAGCGGCGUACGGGUGAGUAACACGUGGGUAAUCUGCCUUUUAGUGGGGAAUAACCCUGGGAAACCGGGGCUAAUACCGCAUAAUCCUGUGAAGGGAAAGCAGCAAUGCGCUGAAAGAGGAGCCCGCGGCCGAUUAGCUAGUUGGUGAGGUAACGGCUCACCAAGGCGGUGAUCGGUAGCCGGCCUGAGAGGGCACACGGCCACACUGGCACUGAAACACGGGCCAGACUCCUACGGGAGGCAGCAGUGGGGAAUCUUGCACAAUGGAGGCAACUCUGAUGCAGCGACGCCGCGUGAGCGAUGAAGCCCCUCGGGGUGUAAAGCUCUUUCGGCAGGGACGAUA
rnacentral:rRNA from 1 species